rnacentral:rRNA from 1 species
UAAGGAAUAUUGGUCAAUGGACGCAAGUCUGAACCAGCCAUGCCGCGUGAAGGAUGAAGGUCCUCUGGAUUGUAAACUUCUUUUAUCUGGGACGAAAACGGGAUUUUUAUCUCAAUUGACGGUACCAGAGGAAUAAGCACCGGCUAACUCCGUGCCAGCAGCCGCGGUAAUACGGAGGGUGCGAGCGUUAUCCGGAUUUACUGGGUUUAAAGGGUGCGUAGGUGGGCUUAUAAGUCAGUGGUGAAAUCUCCGAGCUUAACUUGGAAACUGCCGUUGAUACUAUAGGUCUUGAAUUAUCUGGAGGUAAGCGGAAUAUGUCAUGUAGCGGUGAAAUGCUUAGAUAUGACAUAGAACACCAAUUGCGAAGGCAGCUUACUACAUAUAAAUUGACGCUGAGGCAUGAAAGCGUGGG